ACUAGUCUAGAUCCCAUAACAAAACAGUCUAAAAUCAAAACACAAAUAUACUUUAGGAAUUGCAAAUAAUAACUCUACAUCGUGCUUGAUUUGUAAGAAGGCGAAGAGGUGUAAGUUCUUAAAUCACAUCGCUGCCAUGUUGGUGACUUUGACUCUACCAUAAUACGACUCAUCUGUAAAAUAAAUAAAACAGUUAUUUUUCAUAUAAAUGAGGAAAAUUUUAGUUAAAAAUCCAAUAAAAU